rnacentral:rRNA from 1 species
UGGGGAAUAUUGGACAAUGGGGGCAACCCUGAUCCAGCAAUGCCGCGUGUGUGAAGAAGGCCUUAGGGUUGUAAAGCACUUUCGCCCGUGAAGAUGAUGACGGUAACGGGAGAAGAAGCUCCGGCUAACUCCGUGCCAGCAGCCGCGGUAAUACGGAGGGGGCAAGCGUUGUUCAGAAUUACUGGGCGUAAAGGGCGCGUAGGCGGUCUGUUGCGUCAGGUGUGAAAGCCCCGGGCUCAACCUGGGAGGUGCACUUGAUACGGGCGGACUGGAAUCCGGGAGAGGAUGGUGGAAUUCCCAGUGUAGAGGUGAAAUUCGUAGAUAUUGGGAAGAACACCGAUGGCGAAGGCAGCCAUCUGGCCCGGUAUUGACGCUGAGGCGCGAAAGCGUGGGGAGCAAACAGGAUUAGAUACCCCCGUAGUCC